rfam:Otolemur garnettii contig059044, whole genome shotgun sequence.
CCAAAGGCUCUUUUAAGAGCCCCCCCCCCCACCCUUUCAAGGAAGA